AAGAUCCUGCUGGUUGUCCUCAGACACUGGACCUCAGCAGAUUUCAGACAGAUUUCCACCUUUACAACCGGCUUUUAUCCUGAGCUUGUUCUUAAUCAUCUCCCCUUGUAUUCUGUAUUCUGUCAGCGCCUCUCUGGUCCGUCUCCCUUUUGCCCCUCUGCCUUUUGGUGUCCUAGAGAGAAUGGUUGUUCUAAUAAGGACUGUGUUUCUGUACUAUCCCUUUCAUCCUGGGCCUAUUUCCCUCACCUCCCUCCAGCACAUGUGAUGCAGCAAAUUAACAGCCCCGCACUGCCUGGCUUGGCUUGGGAAGAAAAGAAAAGAAAAAAAAAACACCCCACCUAAUUCAAACACCCAAUUAAAUGAGAGCUGUCUCACUAAAAACAUGGGAGAGGGGGAAAGCUAGUGACUGAAUAACCUCACUCUGUUCUCCAUAUAAUGUGUUCUGGCAGAAGAGCCGCAAUAGCUCCUCUGGGAGAACCCAGAGGGAUAGGAAAAGCCCUCCAAAUGAGAAAAGAUGCAUCUGAUUUGUGGAUGGAAGUCUGUCCCUCCGGUUUGUAAUGCAGAUGAGAGCAAAAAAAAAGGAGGAUGUGCAGCGUUAUCAUGUAAUUUCCUUCCUUUUUUUUCAAAUUAAACUGGGUGUAGCUUGCACUCGGUUAUAUUUAUUCAUAAUAUUGGUGUGCAGGUUUGAGCUGUGUUUUGAUUCUAUAAAUUUUCUUUGCUGUAACUCCAUUAAUGCUGCUGUAGGUUAUUGGGAAUCUAAAGCUCUCUGAUUAUGUGAUUCAGAGGUCUCAGAUCCACAUGGUGUACGGUACACUCACGGUUUUCACGUGAUCAUUGGAAACUGUGUCUCCUCAGCCAGCCCUGUGCACAAACUGUCUUUCUCUCACUCCUGACUCUCUGUCUUCCCUCUCCUCCUCUCACUGCUCCUUCCUCUGGCUUGCAUGGAAACUCCAACCAUCUCUGUAUGCUCCUUAACUAAAGACAGGUUCAGAUUUUUGAAUUGAAGAUUUAGUCGAAUACUUAACAUGCACAAUAUAUACAUUUGAUGUAAUGUAAUUUGAUGUACAAACAAAAAAUGAAUGCAAAAUACACAAAAGAUGUCAAAAAGAAAUCAUAAGCAGUGGUAGAGAGAGUAUUCAGAUUAGGGUCGUAAGGAUACUAAAAUCUUCAACUCGAUACCGAUACUCAGGAAAAUAUUCGAUACAAGCUUCAGGUCUGAGGUAGUGCAAAAUCUAGAUAAAUACAUCAAACAAUAACAAUUAGAACAAUAUUUUGAGGUUGUAUGCUGUGCACAAUAUUAGGCAAGCUUGAUAAAAAAAUAACAAUAACUUAACUUAAUUGUUCAUUCCUUGGCUAGGUAUCGAUACUUUUGAAAAUGAGUAUCGUAUCCGGAUACAAUGUUUUAGUAUUGAUAAUUUUUUGAGUAUUGAUACUUUUGACAACCCUAAUUCAGAUCCAUUACUUAAGUCAAAGUACUCAUACCUAACAGUAGAAGCUCUGCAUUAAAAAUGUAUAAUAAGGAAAGUGUACUAUUAGUAAUCAAAGUAUAUCCCCUGUGACUGCUAUAAUACGUUAUAUGAUUACAAUCAUUUUACUCAUGAAAUAAUGGAAAAGUAAGAUUUCACUGUUGGAUUUCACAGUUGGUUCAGGUGGAGCUCGUUUUGAACUAUGAACUAUGAACUAAUUAUUAUUAUUAUCAUUAUGGCUUCAUCUAUUUAAUAUUUUCAAUUGUUUGGUUUGUAAAAAGUAGUUUAAAUUGUGUAACAAAGUGACACCUUCACAAUGUUUUUUUCUUUGUUUGUUCGUUUUGUCUAACCAACCGUCCAAUCCUCAGUAUUAUUACUAAUACAUUACAGUUAUUAACAGAAUAUUGAAAGAAAAAACAGCAAAUCUUCACAUUUGUGAAGCUGCAACAAUGAUUGGGGUUUUUUUUAUACCAAAAUAGUUUCCAUUUAUUUUCUUGUCAGUCAGUUGUAUUGUAUUUAUUGUUAGGUAGUUUAAUUGGUAACAAAGUAUCAUUUUUUAUAAGCUCUUUGUUAGUUUUGUUUGCAAAAUUCAUAAUUUGUAAAGUAACCAAAGCGGUUAGAUACAUGUUAUAGUACAAUAUCUGCAAAUACAUAGAAAACUGCACAAAAAUACAAGAUAAAAUAGAACAAAAGCUGACAUUAAAUCAACAGAGAAAGUAAUUAAAAAGGAAAUAUAUAUCAGAGGUAUUAUGUAGAAGUAAAUAUUGUUAGAAUAAAUGUCUAUAAAUAUGA